rnacentral:rRNA from 1 species
CGUAAUAACAGAAACUAACCAGGAUUCCCUUAGUAACGGCGAGUGAACUGGGAUACCAAUAACACAUAUACGCGUCGUUCGCGACGUGUAUCUUUAGCCCGUCGAUACUAUCCUAGCGUAUGACUCUCUGUCUCGGCAGAGUGUCGCCUAAUACGCGGGAAUUGUAGCAUCGUAAUAUAAAAUAUACGUAUAUACGCGCCACACACACAUACCAACUCAGUGCCGGCCUUGCAAACACACAGCGCUCUCGCGUUGGAAAGCAAGUUAUAUCUUCGGAUAUGCCAUAGAGUGUGACAGCCACGUUUGGAACACCACUCGGCAACUGAUACACGCGCAUAAUACAUACCGUAUAUAACCUGAGUCGAGUUAUUU